UUUGUAUACAUAAGAGUGUGGGUGUGUAUUGGCAAGUGUAUGUAAUAUAUAUAUAUAUUACAUACACUUGCCAAUACACACCCAUUGUUGAAGUUG